UCACUUUCAACAACGGAUCUCUUGGCUCUCGCAUCGAUGAAGAACGUAGCGAAGUGCGAUAAGUAGUGUGAAUUGCAGAAUUCCGUGAAUCAUCGAAUUUUUGAACGCAAAUUGCGCUUCCUGGCAUCCCGGGAAGUAUGCCUGUUUGAGGGUCAGUA
rnacentral:rRNA from 2 species